GGCCUUUCCCCGGGCAGGCGGACUGCCUAUAUCGCCUUUGCCGGUUCGCCGGCUAUGGCGAUAAACGGUGUGUGGAAUAAGCGUUGUGGACCCGGGGGCAGUACCCGGCGCCUCCACCAUACGGUCCCCCUUUGAGGGGGGCUCAUUGGGGGCGAAACAGGCUCGACACGCGUGGUAAAGACGCAUUUUUCGCCCGGCAUGGUUCCGCCGUCAUCGGGCCAUAUCACAGGUGCCAAUGACAACAUGGCGCUCGCUGUCGCUGCAUAAGCGAUAAGCGCGGUUCGGGGGGCACCGGGCAACAGAAGCCCCCCACU
rnacentral:tmRNA from 1 species